CUUUCUUCUCGGCCUGUUGGCAAAGAACAAAUAUAGUAAUCUUGUUCUUAUCAGCUUAAUAUCUGAUAACGAAGUCCCCAUGUGUGAUCUUCCGAUAAUAAACAGAUUUUUGGAUCAUGGCGAAGUGCUAGGGCUUUGCUCCACCUUUCCGCGGAUGGCCCGGUAUUGCAGUACUCCGGGAUUGGUCCACUUGCU